AGAGACAGGAAACCCAAAAAGGGUGGUAUGAGUCUUGGUUCACACAGUCCCCCUGGUUAACUAUGCUUUUAUCAGCCCUGGCUGGUCCUUUAAUAAUCCUUAUAUUGUUGCUAACUCUAGGACCCUGUUUGCUCAACCAUGUAGUUUCCUUUCUCCAAGCUCAAAUUGGACGAGUCAAACUUAUGGUAAUCAGACAACAAUAUACCCCACUAGCAGACCAUAAAAUGUGACACCCCCCAAUGAUCACUUUUAUGAUUAAAAGUAACCAGAAGAAAAAGUGGGAAAUGAAAGGUUAAUAAUCUUGAGAACUGUUUGCUAAUCUUGUUCCUAGAAGGUGCUGUCCCCAACUGCCAAACUGCAGAAUGUAUCCCCUCACCCGGUUGCAGGCAAACCACCCACUCGCCCUGACCCGUCAAUGAACUUCCCUCCCUGCCCUCUCCAAGGAAAGUAUAUAAGCUCUGCUUAAGCUGUUCUCAGGGCUCUUUGCUCUAUUCAAGUGAGCUCUGAGCCCCAGCAUGCUGGACCCCAAUAAACCCUUUGCUGUUGCAUGAGACAGUCUCUUGGUGGUCUCUCCCUCCGAUGCUCGCCUGACCUUUACAAUAUAAAAAGUGCACUACUAACCCAAGGAAAACUGAAAUGGUUCCGAAUAUCUUAAGAACCACGUGGUUUCAUAAGGUUUACACAUUAUAAGCUAUGUCUUUAUUCUUUUUUUAAAAAAAAAUUUUUAGUGUAGUUGGGCACAAUACCUUUAUUUUUAUGUUUUUAUUUUUUCUAUGUGGUGCUGAGGAUCGAACCCAGGCCUUGCACAUGCU
rnacentral:lncRNA from 1 species